CCUCGGGUGGCACCAGUGGGGAAUAUUGCACAAUGGAGGAAACUCUGAUGCAGCAACGCCGCGUGGAGGAUGACACUUUUCGGAGCGUAAACUCCUUUUAUAUAGGAAGAAGAUGACGGUACUAUAUGAAUAAGCGCCGGCUAACUCCGUGCCAGCAGCCGCGGUAAUACGGAGGGCGCAAGCGUUACUCGGAAUCACUGGGCGUAAAGAGCGUGUAGGCGGAUUAAAAAGUCAGAAGUGAAAUCCUAUAGCUUAACUAUAGAACUGCUUCUGAAACUCUUAAUCUAGAAUAUGGGAGAGGUAGAUGGAAUUUCUGGUGUAGGGGUAAAAUCCGUAGAGAUCAGAAGGAAUACCGAUUGCGAAGGCGAUCUACUAGAACAUUAUUGACGCUGAGACGCGAAAGCGUGGGGAGCAAACAGGAUUAGAUACCCCUGUAGUC
rnacentral:rRNA from 1 species